CUCUAGUCAUUCGCUCAGUUGCUGGACGUGUUGUCACUCGCUCAGGAAAAAACAACAAAUCGCUGAAACGUACAGGAGGAUAGAGACAACAAACAACAUGGAAAGUGGCACGCUGAUAGAACAAUGAACGAUGUCACGGAUAUGCCAUCAAUAGAGAGAAUCUGAUCGAAGAACUGUUUAAUCGCCACGAUCCAUUGACAACGGAGCGGGUGAAAUGUAAUGCGACAGAAGAUUAAUCUAAUAAAAUGAUCAGGGUUUUUUUCGUUUCUGCUCUAACCGUUAUCGACAUACAUAUAAUCAGCGUUCAAGGACGUAUAUAUGAGGACAAUUGGCCAACGGGUUUUCCUGAGUUGGGUAAACAGAUAAAUUUGCUCUCUUAUAACCCUAGUUUCUGAGAGAGAUGUCGUGAUGAAACCUUUUAGAUCACAGAGUCCUAGACCACCCUUACUCUGACUCUGGAAAAGUAACAAUUAAGGCCGACCACAACGGUCACUUGACUCAUCCUCUCGACCACGCCCCCUUCUCCGCCAUUGUUUCUCCCCCACGGUCCGGCAACUUGGCGGCAUCCUGUAAACCAAUGUAUUGACAACAGAAUCAAACACGGAGCAAAUCUUUUGUCAAUAGCAUGAAAUAGUCUUCCAAUCAGAAAAAUGAGAACGAUUUGCUCCUGUCUGUCCCUCUUCAAACACUUCAAGGGUCUUAAAAGCGUUUGAUGGAGUGGCUGCUACUCAUCUCUGAAUGGACCAUCCAUUAGAACUGACAAGGAUUAUUGCGAGUAUAAAAGACGACUCCAUUACGGCCUCUUUUCCGGCUUGUAAGUUGACUUUUGUCAACAAAGGGUGUAUAUGACGCUACUGAGAGGAAUCUAAUGACAAUUUGGAACGGUGAAGAAAAUCCCUGCUGAUAGGCAAUUGGACGCCGAGUCCUAGAGCUUAACUACAACAAGCCGAUUCGUGAAUUCUGGAAUUGGGUCUGACUCUUUGGCUCCCCAAUGUCAUUUGUCAUAUUUUGACACUGAGUCACAGAUUUAAGGAAAUAAUUUGUUUUUACAUUGUACAUGUAUUUAGAUAGAGCAAUAUUUACUUUUACAUUAGAAAAGUGUUCAACUUAUCCAUCCAAAUUUACCUGCUAACAUGAAUACCUACAUAUUUAAAUGUCCAUUACACAAAAAAGCAAACACAAUUGAAUGAUCGCAAUCAGUUUUUCAUAAAAACGUUAGUAACCCUUUACAACUUGAAUUCAAAGAAAAUAGAGACUCAAUUUAAACUUU
rnacentral:sRNA from 1 species